rnacentral:rRNA from 1 species
GACGAACGCUGGCGGCGUGCUUAACACAUGCAAGUCGAACGGAAAGGCCCUGCUUUUGUGGGGUGCUCGAGUGGCGAACGGGUGAGUAACACGUGAGUAACCUGCCCUUGACUUUGGGAUAACUUCAGGAAGCUGGGGCUAAUACCGGAUAGGAGCUCCUGCUGCAUGGUGGGGGUUGGAAAGUUUCGGCGGUUGGGGAUGGACUCGCGGCUUAUCAGCUUGUUGGUGGGGUAGUGGCUUACCAAGGCUUUGACGGGUAGCCGGCCUGAGAGGGUGACCGGCCACAUUGGGACUGAGAUACGGCCCAGACUCCUACGGGAGGCAGCAGUGGGGAAUAUUGCACAAUGGGCGGAAGCCUGAUGCAGCAACGCCGCGUGCGGGAUGACGGCCUUCGGGUUGUAAACCGCUUUCGCCUGUGACGAAGCGUGAGUGACGGUAAUGGGAAAAGAAGCACCGGCUAACUACGUG